UGUUGCCUCCAAGAGCUGCUGAUAUUUUGGAUGGGAAAAUGAUGAUUCAUCCAAUCCGGAGCUCAAAUGAGUCGUGUGCAGGAGAAGCCGUGCUUCUGCUUCCCCCAGAUUAAAGUCAGUUGUCUCAUUGUAGAGCUUCUUGGCAAUGGCGGUCUUGUGUGACCCUCCCAUUCCCCAGACUGAUAUAAUUCAAUCCUCUAUAUCUUUCCCUAGGUAAUGAACAAGCUACUCUACCUCAUCCUCCAUGCCUAGGAAUCAAUCUGCCAUCUCCAAAUUGGGGAAAGUCUUCUUGGACAUCUUGUUUCCAGCCGAGCUUUCCCCUUCUCUAUUUGGAUUGAUGAUUAUGCUUCUUUUUAUGAUGUUUCCUCUCCAGAUUCGAUGUAAUUUGUGAAAUCUCGGAGCCUAAUUGAUGGAGUGAGCUGCAAUCUGUCAAAAUGCAGGAAUAUUUGUGAAUGAACUGUGUGAGGCCUCUUCUCCUUGAAGAGACUUGAUAAGCUGCGUAUAUUUCAAUGGCGGAUUCGGAUCUGUAGAUGAGAUCUCUGAUCUCUGAGAUCCAAUUGGAGAUUGUUCUGUUUUUAUGUCGUCUUUUGUCAGCAUCUAGGAGGAAACACUUCAUCUCUUUGAGCUGCCUCUCGAGCUCCUUGACUUGAUCGACCGCACCAGCUAAAGAAACUUUCGUAGUUGCUGGUAUGAUUUUCUUGGAGAAGAGUUGGGGAUGAAAGAAGGUUGAAUGACAAAGGGUAUGAAAGGUAUAGUUUUCUAUUUCUAGGUACACAAUACAAGUCGGGAUUGCUAUCCCACAAAAAUUGUAAGAUACAAACCCACACAUUUCCAGCCUAUUUCAGCGGGCCUAGAUAGGCCAUAUCAAUAAACAAGGGAUGGUGUGGUGGGCUAAAUAGGUUAUCAAACAGAUGGAAAUAUGGAGAUACAUAUUUAUUUCUAGGCAUUACUUAGUUAUCAAACGAGACCUAAAUGUCUUUGUGUUGACAUAUAUAACAUAAGUUGUUGAAAUAGUUGUUAGUUUAUAAAUUUUAAAAAGUUAUCAAUCGAUCA